rnacentral:lncRNA from 7 species
AACGCCUUGCUGCAGAAUGCUAGCAGGAAUCUGUGAGGAGUCAGGUCCUGUAAACCAGCCAUCAUCAGCAACAUCACGUAAUGAAGUCCUAGAACUGCAGGCUUCUCUGCUUCAGUGCUCUUGGGAGAGGUGAAUGGAAAACACUUGAAAGAAACCUGCUGCAAGCAGUGAGGGAGUUUGUCAUAUAUGGAAUGAAAAGGAAAUGCACUCUUCCCACCAAGGAUGGCAUGAAAAUGGCCAUAAUUGCUGGCAGGAUGAAGCUAUGUCAUUUGAACUUUAGAGGGAUACAAGCAUUUCAAAUGUUUGAAUGCAGCCAUGGUGGCAAAAUGAAGGGAAGAGAGGAAGAAGGCUAUGUGCUUGACACUGAGUUCACACCAUUCUAGGUAAAAGCAAGAAGAGACACAGAUUUAUCCAUUUUUGAUUUGCAGGUUGAACCUUGCUGUUGAUCAAAGUGCAUUUACUUGUUUUUAGUAUUGUAAGCUUCUUUCCCUUGCCUUGUUACCAUGUUCAACUACUUAUUUUAAUUGCAAGGAAAAGAAAGCCGCUGAUCUGCAUAAAGGUUAUAAGGAAAUGUGCACAAAUGUGCAAAAACUCAAGUGUUUACAUGAACCAGUUAAAUAGCUCCCCAUGUCCUUAAUGAGCAAGCACGGGAAUUCAAUUAACUGAUAUUUUAUUUGUUAAAUGAACUGACCUUUAUCCAGUGCAAUCUAUAAAAUUAAUUUGGCACUCUGUAAUCCUUGCAGAUUGGCAAU